ACGGCUCAGUAACACGUGGCUAACCUACCCUCAGGACGAGGAUAACCCCGGGAAACUGGGGCUAAUAUUCGAUAGGUGAGGAUGCCUGGAAUGGUUUCUCACUCAAAGGGCUUUAGAUACAUGCUUCUAACGUCGCCUGGGGAUGGGGCCGCGACCGAUCAGGUUGUUGGUGAGGUAAUGGCUCACCAAGCCUAUAACCGGUACGGGCCGUGAGAGCGGUAGCCCGGAGAUGGGUACUGAGACAAGGACCCAGGCCUACGGGGCGCAGCAGUCGCGAAAACUCCGCAAUGCACGAAAGUGUGACGGGGCUACCCCGAGUGCCAUCCGCUGAGGGUGGCUUUUCUUUGGUAUAACUAGCCAGGGGAAUAAGGAGAGGGCAAGACUGGUGUCAGCCGCCGCGGUAAUACCAGCUCUCCGAGUGGUAGGGAUGAUUAUUGGGCUUAAAGCGUCCGUAGCCUGCUUAGCAAGUCUCCUGUUAAAUUCAGCGACCUAAUCGUUGAGCCGCGGGAGAUACUACUAGGCUAGGAGGCGGGAGAGGUCGACGGUACUUCUGGGGUAGGGGUGAAAUCCUAUAAUCCCAGGAGGACCACCAGUGGCGAAGGCUGUCGGCUAGAACGCGCUCGACGGUGAGGGACGAAAGCUGGGGGAGCGAACCGGAUUAGAUACCCGGGUAGUCCCAGCCGUAAACGAUGCGGGCUAGGUGUUGGGGUGGCUACGGGCCACUCCAGUGCCGCAGGGAAGCCAUUAAGCACGCCGCCUGGGGAGUACGGCCGCAAGGCUGAAACUUAAAGGAAUUGGCGGGGGA
rnacentral:rRNA from 1 species